rnacentral:rRNA from 1 species
GAUGAACGCUGGCGGCGUGCUUAACGCAUGCAAGUCGAACGAAGCACUUUGAUCGAUUUCUUCGGAAUGAAGUUUUAGUGACUGAGUGGCGGACGGGUGAGUAACGCGUGGGUAACCUGCCUCACACAGGGGGAUAACAGUUGGAAACGGCUGCUAAUACCGCAUAAGCGCACAGUACCGCAUGGUACGGUGUGAAAAACUCCGGUGGUGUGAGAUGGACCCGCGUCUGAUUAGCUAGUUGGCAGGGCAGCGGCCUACCAAGGCGACGAUCAAUAGCCGACCUGGGAGGGUGACCGGCCACAUUGGGACUGAGACACGGCCCAAACUCCUACGGGAGGCAGCAGUGGGGAAUAUUGCACAAUGGGGGAAACCCUGAUGCAGCGACGCCGCGUGAGCGAAGAAGUAUUUCGGUAUGUAAAGCUCUAUCAGCAGGGAAGAAAAAAUGACGGUACCUGACUAAGAAGCACCGGCUAAAUACGUGCCAGCCGCCGCCGUAA